CAGUAGCCACGGUAAUACGUAGGGUGCAAGCGUUAAUCGGAAUUACUGGGCGUAAAGCGUGCGCAGGCGGUUCGCUAAGACAGAUGUGAAAUCCCCGGGCUUAACCUGGGAACUGCAUUUGUGACUGGCGGGCUAGAGUAUGGCAGAGGGGGGUAGAAUUCCACGUGUAGCAGUGAAAUGCGUAGAGAUGUGGAGGAAUACCGAUGGCGAAGGCAGCCCCCUGGGCCAAUACUGACGCUCAUGCACGAGAGCGUGGGGAGCAAACAGGAUUAGAUACCCGCGUAGUCCCUGUCUCUUAUAC
rnacentral:rRNA from 1 species